rnacentral:misc_RNA from 1 species
GCUAUUGAUACAAAAUUUUACAGGUGAAAACCAAAUUAAACCGAUCCCAGAUGCUGUUCAUGACGAAUCACUUUGUCUGGUUGAUAGUAACUAUAAUCAAAGUAAACCUAUUGAGAUUUGGAUGAUGAGAGAGUAUGGUGCAGCAGAUACAUGGUGAAGCAGUUCUGGGUUAGUUAACUAUUAUGAUGUAAGGUGUGAUCUAGAUGAGCUUGUGGUUACUCAUAAAUUGGUGAAGCCAAUGACUACAAGGAAUAACGGUGAAAUAAUAUGGAAAUUGAGCUGUAGGUUAUUGGUUUCAGUUGAUCAUGUAGUUGAAAAGUUUGAAGAUGUUGGCCAUGGUCACUCUACAAAUGGUUGGUGUCACAUUCCGCAUUAUGUCGAUUAUUACAAAGAGAGCUUAGUUUUACCUGAUAAAUGGACAGAUAAUUGUGUUGGAGAUGCUUGUGAAGAAAGAAAGAAAGAACAAAAGCUCUUUGUUAACUAGUUAGCUAUAUUGCACUUGAUUUACUGACUUUAGGUAAUGGCUAUGUUUUGGCUUUUGGCAAAAUGUAUGAACAGUUGAUAGUGGACUUGAUUACUUGAGUUCUGCA